GGUGGGGAAGAUGAAUACGAUCAGGAGUGGUACAAUUCUGUAGUGGUCCUUGUAUAAAUCAGCCCACACAGCCAUUGGUUCUGCGGAAAAGGACCUAGGGGUUACAGUGGACAAGACAGACAGGCAUGCCUGCAAAAUGCAGACAGUGCAACAAAGAAAUGCAAGGCCUGGUUGCCCAAAGGAAACAACAUCCUGAGAAGUGUUCCUUCUCAGGAGGAAGCUCCGUUGAAGAUGAUGAAAGGAACAUGACUGAACAUGCAGGAUCUUCAGGGUGUUCCUAAAGCAUGAUGAAUGCAUCUGAUUGAUUGGGAAGAAACGGCUUGGACUGGGGUUCCCAGCUUUCCUCAGCCAGGCCUCUUCAAGCUCUGCUCCAGGAAAACUGGCUCCAGUAGCUCAAGCCAGCAGAGGCCCUGCAUGGGAGGAAAGCUCAUAAAACCCAGGUGUGUUGUCGCUCUGCAUUGCUGUCAGCCUUAGAACAUGAGCCUCCCUCAGAGCUGUGUGCUCCCUGCCAAGUGAUUGGAAAGAAAGUGAAGGGCCAGCCAGGGCAGGUGUCAGGUUUCUGCUCAGGGAAAGGAAUGAGGCUGUGCUGUCUGAAAUCCCACACAUGCAAUUUCACUGGGGAGUACCACAAGCCUUAUCAGGAUUCAGGCACUGGCUGCUCAGAAGAGGGAUAGUUUCCCAUUCUUGGUCUCUCUGCGCUCUUUCUCUCUCUAACCCUCUGCUCUUUCUUUCUCUCAUCUGUUUCCUUUGACGCUGGUCCCAGGCCCACUGCCAAGUCUCUGAUCCAUUAGUGAGGUGCCUUGUUGACUGAAGCACAAAUCAUGAUGGAUCCGGGUGCAAUUAGCAGCUCCUAGCACCUCAUCUGGAAGACAUUAGCUUGGCUGGGGGGAGGCAGAAUUGGGAGGGGAAGAGAGAAAUACGAAAGAAUUGAUGUAGAUGCCAAACUGAAUAAAUAGCCUAUUUUUAUAACAUUAAGGAACCACAAUCCAGCAGCAGAUAGUGAUGUGCAAACAGGGGAGACAGGGCGUGUAGUUACCAUAUCCUAGUCAACAUGGCCCCCAGAACUAUAACACAUUCUGGGGGU